GACGAACGCUGGCGGCGUGCUUAACACAUGCAAGUCGAACGGUGAAGCGCCUUCCUUUUUGGUGGGUGUGGAUGAGUGGCGAACGGGUGAGUAACACGUGAGUAACCUGCCCCCUUCUUCUGGAUAACCGCAUGAAAGUGUGGCUAAUACGGGAUAUUCUGGGUCUGUCGCAUGAUGGGUCUGGGAAAGAUAUUGUUUCGGUGGGGGAUGGGCUCGCGGCCUAUCAGCUUGUUGGUGGGGUGAUGGCCUACCAAGGCGGUGACGGGUAGCCGGCCUGAGAGGGUGGACGGUCACACUGGGACUGAGACACGGCCCAGACUCCUACGGGAGGCACCAGUGGGGAAUAUUGCACAAUGGGCGCAAGCCUGAUGCAGCGACGCCGCGUGAGGGAUGGAGGCCUUCGGGUUGUGAACCUCUUUCGCCAGUGAAGCAGGCCUGCCUCGUUUGUGGGUGGGUUGACGGUAGCUGGAGAAGAAGCGCCGGCUAACUACGUG
rnacentral:rRNA from 1 species